AUAGUUUGCUAGGAGAGCUGGUGUUGCCAGCUGAGAGUAAGACCUUAAGUCUUUGAUCCUUUUUAUUACCUGAUCUAGAUUAUGCUAGCGUAGGGAAGCAAUUCGGACACUAA
rfam:Bacillus anthracis str. 'Ames Ancestor', complete genome.